CCGCCGCUCCCCCCGCCACCGCAGCCAGCGCGGGGGGCGGCUGCCGCCGGCCCCUCCGCCCCCCCGGCAGACAGGUUCAAGCUGCAUUAAAGGAGGAAUAAAAAUUGUGACUCCAAAGAACAAAAUAAGGCAGAAGAGAGAAAACAGCACCAAAAAAAAAACCUCAGAAAGGUGAUAAUUUGUGUAGACUCUCCAAAUAGUCUUAGACAUGUGGUUUGGCUGGGACUGGGGCCUCUGAUUCUACGUGUUUUUGAUGGAAUUCAAUAGGGCGUGGCAGGUUUUGACUCACAUGGUCACAUGAGAUUAUGAAUAGUGAAGACAAUGAAGAGUGGGACAUCCAUCAAAGAGUGACAGCCUCUUAUAAGGUGACCAGUGUAACCUCAUGACGCUCCUGUAAGAGCCAGAUUCAGCUAGGAUGUUACACCAUCACUGUCGGAGGAACCCUGAGCUACAGGAAGAGUUGCAGAUCCAGGCUGCAGUUGCUGCUGGCGAUGUUCACACCGUGCGCAAGAUGCUGGAGCAAGGAUACUCUCCAAAUGGUCGAGAUGCCAAUGGCUGGACCUUGCUUCAUUUCUCUGCAGCAAGAGGGAAAGAGAGAUGUGUCCGUGUUUUUCUUGAACAUGGAGCUGAUCCCACAGUUAAGGACUUAAUUGGAGGCUUCACUGCUCUGCAUUAUGCAGCCAUGCAUGGCCGAGCGAGGAUUGCACGCUUGAUGUUGGAAUCUGAAUAUAGAAGUGACAUUAUUAAUGCCAAGAGCAACGAUGGUUGGACUCCCCUCCAUGUAGCAGCCCACUAUGGCAGAGACUCAUUUGUCAGGCUCCUGUUGGAGUUCAAGGCUGAGGUUGAUCCGCUCAGUGAUAAAGGUACUACACCCCUUCAGCUGGCCAUUAUCCGGGAGAGGUCAAGCUGUGUGAAAAUCCUGCUGGAUCACAAUGCCAACAUCGACAUUCAGAACGGUUUCCUGUUACGCUACGCUGUGAUCAAAAGCAAUCACUCUUACUGCCGAAUGUUCCUCCAGAGAGGGGCGGAUACAAACUUGGGUCGCUUGGAAGAUGGACAGACACCCUUACACUUGUCUGCUCUUAGAGAUGAUGUGCUUUGUGCACAAAUGUUGUAUAAUUACGGAGCAGAUACUAACACAAGGAACUAUGAAGGACAGACCCCACUGGCUGUUUCAAUAAGUAUUUCUGGAAGUAGCCGACCCUGUCUGGAUUUCUUACAAGAAGUGACAAAACAGGUCAGUUCAUGAUUUUUGCUUUGCUCAGGCGCUCUUGUCUCUUCAGUGGAAGAAGCUGGUAAGGAUUCCCCCUUCCUACUUUUACAGCACUUCUGCUUAAAACUAGGUGAGGGUCCCAAAAAUCAGUGUUCUCAGAGGUACUAGAUUUAGUGAUACAUAUCUUAAUGAUCCUUAAGUAUAGACUUCUUAGGUGAGUUAGUGUUUUAUUUCUUGAGGAGCAUGGUCUGCAUAGGAAAACAGGCAGUCACAGGCCUAAAUGCAGAAGUGUCAGAACAGUUGUAACGAUGACACUUCUUUAUACAGGCAGUAAAUCCUAAGUCUGAGUUUUGUCUGCCUUUGGGCUAGAGCAGCAAACUCCCAGAUAGAAUAGGAGAAAAAUCUUGAAACUGCAAAAAGGAAUGGAGUGGAGUGUUGAGUAGAAAUUCAGGAUGAAUUGUAAUAAUUUCUUCCUGUUAAAACAUGCUUUUUUUUUUUUUCCUUUGCUUUACCAGGGAAAGCAAAUCUAUUAAUAAUAAUUUUAAAAGCUUGUUUAAUUAUUUAAGUAAUUAUUAAUUAUGUAAGGGGGGGGAGAAGCUAACGGACUUACUUUGUUAACAGUUUAAGAACAUGAGUUAGGAAGAUGUUCAGAUUUUAUACGUACUGAUGUCUGCUGCCUCUAAAGAGGAGAAAAAAAUGAAAAGCAGUUCUGCUUUAUUUUAUAACCCGAUGUUUUAUAUUUCUUCUGUUUGGAAGAAACUUCUCUUAUGUUUGGGAAACUAUACACAAGAAAGGUGUUGAUGAGGAUUUCAGCUUUCUAUUACAGCACAGAGCACAAGAAUAGCAAAGAUUAUUUUAUUAUCUUGAUAAAGCUUGCAAAAUAAAUUGACUGAAGUGUCUGACUUGUUCUGGUGAACGUUAGGAAACCUUCACCUCCUCAGCAGCAGCAGGUGUUUGCUGCUCUGAUGGUAACUCGGGUUGUGUGACAGUAACCUGACUGCUCUGGAGUAACAGCCCUGCCAUCACCUACAAAUUCCUUUAAGACCAACUCAGGGAUGUUUGGGGGUUUUUUUAAGGUGCUCAGGAGUUUUAUGUCACUGUUUUGCAUGAUAGUGGUAAUUAGGUCAAUCUUAUCUUUUAUGUUUGUGGCCUUUUUUUUGUUUGUUUCAUUUUUUAAUUCUUGUCCUUUGUAGCUUAUUAGCCUAAAUAAUUCUCCAAACUGGUGGUGCAGGACAUAACCAAAUUUGCUACUUCCUAAUAGUUUUUAAACAGAACCUUAUUCCUCAUUUAACUUGUCCUACUUUGCCAAAUUACUAAUAACAUUUUCCAUUUACCAAACCAAGGUUCACUGACAUUGGUCUGUAAUCCUUUAUUUUUUUUUUCUUUUUCAUUCAGAUGCAAUCAAGAAUGAGUAAGUGUUCUAGACACUGUUUCUAAUAAAUCACAAAUGCAUUAAUAACCCCGGAAUUUGUGAGGCGUGACCUAAGACACUAACAACCACUAGAUGUAGCAACUGGUGCUUAACACUGGAAAUGUCCAUUGUUAACACAUUCCCAGGAAAUAUUUUUAGGCUUAUCAGGGGAAAAUGUCAUACAUUUGAUAAUCGGGUCUUUUUUAAUUAACUGAUGACCAAUUUCUCUUGGGUGUUUUAAGUUGUCUGUUCAUUUUAUUAUCAAAAAAAACCCCAUAGGAUGUUAAUUAAAAGACAUUAAUUUCUGAAAACAGAAAUAAGUGUCUCAUAGGUGUAUUAUUGUCUGCUCUAUUACAGAAAAUACACAUCCAGACCUGUAGUCCUCUGUACCGUCCAACCCUGCUGUUUGCAGUUAACUUUUGAAAAGGACAGCCCAGAAACUUGCAAGAUCUAUGCCGAAUUAAAAUCCGUCAGUGUAUAGGCCUUCAAAACCUAAAACUACUUGAUGAACUACCCAUUGCCAAGGUCAUGAAAGACUACUUAAAACACAAAUUUGAUGAUAUCUGAUAUCCAUGAA